rnacentral:lncRNA from 1 species
UCUACUCUCACUCAAAUGGGCUCUUCUUACCAUGGAAAUUUCUCCUCUUACUGUUGCCCUGCUGCAAAUAGCACCAAGUCUCUGGCCAUCCUCAUCUCUUCCCCAUUAGCCUUCCCUAGCUACUCUGAACUCAUUGCCCAGUUCACUGUGUCUCAGCCUGUUCCGGGACCUUAGUUCAUCUGGAGGUGGGUGGGGAGUCCCGCUUCAUUGUUCAUCCUACAGUAAACUUGGUAGCCUUCUCAGACCAGAGUCUACCUUCCUCACAAAUGCACACACAUGCCUUCUCCUCAUCUUGAUUUAUUUUUGCAGACAACACUACUGUGCCUCAGACUUAUCCAUGGACUAUUCGUACUUUUCCUCAAGACCGGGGCUUCCUGGAGGAGUGGACAUCAGACAACUGCAUAGAUAACAUGUGGAAGACAACCUGAUGAUGCCAACUGCUGACGACUACAUACCGAGAGCCCACAGGCUUCACGCUCAGUUCCAGAAUUCACAAAGGAAACCAAGAGAGAUGAACUCUGUCUCUAACCCAGUCUCAGCCACAGAAAGGGUCAGGGUAGAUAAAGGAUACUCAUAUUCACUAGCCAUGAUCAAUGAAGCUGUUACAAGAAGACGAAGGGUCGAGAAGGAGAGAGCUGACACCCUGGUGAGAGUCCAGGCUGUUUCCGGGGGGCAUGGCCACCAUUGCCUGUCCCCACCUGGCUCCCGGCUUCUUGCCUUGCACCGACUCGCCACAGCUGGGAGGGAUCCGCAGCAACAGAUCAGCCCGAGAGCAAAGUUGUCUCAGCCGUGGCCUGAGUGUCUGCUCAGCGGUCACCUCCUCUCUCUUAGCGCCCCCUCAGUGACAUGACAGGAACAGAACUGGUGGCCAACUCCCCCUGUGGAGUCCAGAGACCGGCUCAAGAGUGGCAUCAGUAUGAUGUGGGAGGUGCCCACCUGAGACAU